GCUAUCAUGGCCGAGUGGUAAGAAACCCGCCUUCGUGCACACGCGCGCCAAUAUGCUAACAACUGCAACAGGUUAAGGCGGCAGAUUUAAGUGCGCUUCGUGUGCUAAAAACUCUGCUGACGAGAGUCGCGCAGGUUCGAACCCUGCUGAUAGCA